CGCUUAUCGAGGGAGGACGUAUCGCUCGCUGAUGCGCCGCGCAAACUCGCCGGAGCUCGAAAAAUAUAGCGCAACCUGCGCAACGAACUCGUUUUGAUACUAGAUAAUGAAAGCAUAUUUAAUUCAGAUUAUCAGACUCAAUCGGAUACCAGUACAAAUAAUAUGAUAAGUAUUUUUUGUCACUCGCAACAGACAUAUUUGUUUUAAUAAACUAUUUACAUUCCUAGUUUUUAUUGUUGCAGGAAAAUGAAGAUACAAUACAUGGAAGACGAAUUAUAGAUUUUAGUUUUUUUAUAAAUCAAUUACUUAUACCUAAUUGAUAAACAUGGUGAAAAGUUUGGUUGUCGAUUAAAUAAUUUAAAAAUUGUAAA